UACGUAGGGUGCGAGCGUUGUCCGGAAUUAUUGGGCGUAAAGAGCUCGUAGGCUGUGUGUCACGUCGGCCGUGAAAACCUGCAGCUUAACUGUGGGCGUGCGGUCGAUACGGGCAUCACUGGAGUUCGGCAGGGGAGACUGGAAUUCCUGGUGUAGCGGUGAAAUGCGCAGAUAUCAGGAGGAACACCGGUGGCGAAGGCGGGUCUCUGGGCCGAUACUGACGCUGAGGAGCGAAAGCGUGGGGAGCAAACAGG
rnacentral:rRNA from 1 species